rnacentral:tRNA from 1 species
GGGUGACUAGCUCAAUUGGCAGAGCAGACGGCUCUUAACCGUCAGGUUCUGGGUUCGAUCCCCAGGUCACCCA